rnacentral:ncRNA from 1 species
GAUAACUGGCUUGUGGAAGCCAUUCGUUCAUAGCAACAUUGCUUUUUGAUCCUUCAGUGUCGUCUCUUCCCAUCACUGUGAAGCAGAAUUCACCAAGCAUAGGAUUGUCCACCCACUAAUAGGAAAUACGAGCUGGGAGCAGACCACCAUGAGACAGGUU